UGGCCUCAGAUCANGGAGGAUCACC
rnacentral:rRNA from 1 species